rnacentral:rRNA from 1 species
AGAGUUUGAUCAUGGCUCAGAUUGAACGCUGGCGGCAUGCCUUACACAUGCAAGUCGAACGGCAGCACGGGCUUCGGCCUGGUGGCGAGUGGCGAACGGGUGAGUAAUACAUCGGAACGUGCCCUGUAGUGGGGGAUAACUAGUCGAAAGAUUAGCUAAUACCGCAUACGACCUGAGGGUGAAAGCGGGGGACCGCAAGGCCUCGCGCUACAGGAGCGGCCGAUGUCUGAUUAGCUAGUUGGUGGGGUAAAAGCCUACCAAGGCGACGAUCAGUAGCUGGUCUGAGAGGACGAUCAGCCACACUGGGACUGAGACACGGCCCAGACUCCUACGGGAGGCAGCAGUGGGGAAUUUUGGACAAUGGGGGCAACCCUGACCCAGCAAUGCCGCGUGUGUGAAGAAGGCCUUCGGGUUGUAAAGCACUUUUGUCCGGAAAGAAAUGGCUCUGGUUAAUACCCGGGGUCGAUGACGGUACCGGAAGAAUAAGCACCGGCUAACUACGUGCCAGCAGCCGCGGUAAUACGUAGGGUGCGAGCGUUAAUCGGAAUUACUGGGCGUAAAGCGUGCGCAGGCGGUUUUGUAAGACAGGCGUGAAAUCCCCGAGCUCAACUUGGGAAUGGCGCUUGUGACUGCAAGGCUAGAGUAUGUCAGA